rfam:Salmo salar isolate Sally breed double haploid chromosome ssa12, whole genome shotgun sequence.
CCCCGUAGCUCAGUUGGUAGAGCAUGGUGUUUGCAACGCCAGGGUUGUGGGUUUGAUUCCCACGGGGG